GCUGCAGCCAAUAAAUGGAUUGGCAGGGUUACGCAGUUAAGCAAAUUAUGCACUUAUCUGGUAUGCAUGGACAUGGAGUACACAGCACAACUACUGUCAGCAGUGUGCACCCACCAAUGUUUUUAAGUGGCAGUAAUACAAGGGGGAUGCAUUUCAGUUGGGUGCAUAGCCUCUCCCAAAGGCUGAUAACCAGUGGUGACAGAUUGCAGGGCAGUAGGUUUACAUCCCUUGGUCAGCAAGUUUAAGUAUGGUUUAUCAAAAUGUAGGGCAUGCAUAAAAGCUAACUAUGGAAGAUUCAGCCAGGUCUCAUUCAGUUUCUGCAACAGAAAUGUAAUAGCUGCAAAGGCUCACUUAGCUGCAACCUGAGUAGGCAGCAAAAAGUUUGCAGAGAGUGCAAUAGCUUUUCCAGGCAGGACAGUAUGCUAUGCACAGUGCAUGCUUUUUAUUUGAACUGUGACCAGAGCCCCCAUUGCAAACUGAGGGCUCUGAUUGGCUGCUACUGAGCCAUAAGAGCUGAGGGAGGGAAAAGAAGAAUAGAGAAGCUGGAGAAGAGCAAUGCUGGCCUGGAAUGAGGGGCAGACUCAACCCCCUCCUUCCCUGCCUCAGGCAGUGGGGAAUGGCACAGAGACUUGCUGGGGAGCAGACAUCAAGAGGGAAGAGAGCCUGAGUCAUCCCAAGUGAGGCUGAUUCACCACCCAGGCCAGAGCUGUACAAUCAAAUCAGAGACAUGGGUACCCAGGGAAAGAGUGGGGAGAGGCUGAAGGAAACUAGAGAAAAGAAGCCUGUUACCUGUAGUGACUGAUCAGAGACUUGUUCUUUGCUGAAUUACCAACAAGGACCAGAGUUCACUUUCCCCAGAGCAGCAGAAGCCUCCCCUCCUCCAUCUAGUGAUGGAUCAGAGUUAAAGCCAUGUUGCCAUUUAUUGUUAUGGGAAGGGGAUUGUGACCAGAGGGAAAUCAACCUGGGUUAUGGGGGAAGGGGGGGAACUGUUUUAGAGGGUUAUCACCAAUUGACUGUAAUUACUGAGGUUGUUUGAUGCAAGUGGGACCACCCAGUGUGUUGGAAUUAUUCACCCAAUAUUGCAGCUGUACAUUUUAAUUCAAAUUGUUAGUUUUAUUAUUAACUAUUGAUAUUGCAUAGAUAUCAAAAAUAUCUUCUUUUGAUUUAAUCACUUUUUUCUGUAUAUAGCUGUAUAAUAAAGAACCUAACAUGUU